rnacentral:rRNA from 1 species
GAUGAAGGUUUUAGGAUCGUAAAACACUUUCGCCCGUGAGCAAGGUUUGCCUUCUAAUAAAGGGCAAGCUUGAGAGUAGCGGGUAAAGAAGCGCCGGCCAACUACGUGCCAGCAGCUGCGGUAAUACGUAGGGCGCAAGCAUUAAUCGGAUUUAUUGGGUGUAAAGGGUGCGUAGGCGGCCAUACAAGUUGGGUGUUAAAUUCCGGGUUUUACCCCCGGAGUGCACGCAAUACUGUAUGGCUAGAGUGUAAGAGGGGAAAGCGGAAUUCCACAAGUAGCGGUGAAAUGCGUAGAUAUGUGGAGGAACACCGGUGGCGAAGGCGGCUUUCUGGAUUAUUACUGACGCUGAGGCACGAAAGCAUGGGGAGCAAACAGGAUUAGAUACCCUGGUAGUCCAUGCCGUAAACGAUGCACACUUGAUGUAGUCGGUCUCAACCCCGGCUGUGUCGUAGCUAACGCGAUAAGUGUGCCACCUGGGGAGUACGCUCGCAAGGGUGAAACUCAAAAGAAUUGACGGGGACCCGCACAAGCAGUGGAGCAUGUGGUUUAAUUCGAUGCAACGCGAAGAACCUUACCUGGGCUUGACAUGCAAAGGAUUGGGGCGGAAACGCUCAGUUCCGAAAGGACCUUUGCACAGGUGCUGCAUGGCUGUCGUCAGCUCGUGCCGUGAGGUGUUGGGUUAAGUCCCGCAACGAGCGCAACCCUUAUCUCUAAUUGCCAUCGGGUAAAGCCGGGCACUUUAGUGAGACUGCCUGAGUCGAUCAGGAGGAAGGUGAGGAUGACGUCAAGUCCGYCGGCGUGGAUGAGGCAUGSUGCAGCAGGGAUYUSUMUG